ensembl:lncRNA
GCUCCCUCCUAUUUUCCCACUGGAAGGGGAAAGAGAUGAAAGCUGAAGCUGUGCUGCAGUCCAGGAACAGAUGAAAAUGUGCUGGAGCUGAGCGUUGCCUUUGUGGACACAUUUGGUGCUGAUCAUUCCACAACCCUGCCCACAUCUGCCCAAUGAUCACAGCCCUGCUAGAGGAAUUGGCCCAAAAGCUGCUCUGGGGACAAUAAUCGGUCUCGAAGGAGGAAGAAAAUAUUGCCUGGAGGUCUGACUGCUGACCCUGAGGAAAAUCUCCUGACUUUUUUUCCACGCCUACAAAAGAAGGCUAAUCCGAAAACUGAAAGCCAAGUCCUUUGCUCUUCCCUGUGCUGGGCCUCAGUGGAGAGAAACACACUCCCCCAGCAGCAAGCACGUCGUACUGCUGUACUGCUGGCUGCAGCCUGGCUCAUGCAGG